GGAUUAGAUACCCGGGUAGUCCACGCCGUAAACGAUGAGUGCUAAGUGUUAGGGGGUUUCCGCCCCUUAGUGCUGCAGCUAACGCAUUAAGCACUCCGCCUGGGGAGUACGGCCGCAAGGCUGAAGCUCAAAGGAAUUGACGGGGGCCCGCACAAGCAGCGGAGCGUGAGGUUUAAUUCGAAGCAACGCGAAGAACCUUACCAGGGCUUGACAUGAUCAGGAAGUCGGCGGAAACGUCGGUGCCCCGCAAGGGGCCUGGCCACAGGUGUUGCAUGGCUGUCGUCAGCUCGUGUCGUGAGAUGUUGGGUUAAGUCCCGCAACGAGCGCAGCCCCUACUGUGUGUUGUAUCACUCACACGGGACUGCCGGGGUCAACUCGGAGGAAGGUGGGGACG
rnacentral:rRNA from 1 species